rnacentral:tRNA from 1 species
GCAGUGGUAGUUCAAUUGUAGAAUUCUCACCUUCCAUGCAGAAGACCUGGGUUCAAUUCCCGGCCAAUGAA